UACGUAGGGUGCAAGCGUUAAUCGGAAUUACUGGGCGUGAAGCGUGCGCAGGCGGUGAUGUAAGACAGGGGUGAAAUCCCCGGGCUUAACCUGGGAACUGCAUUUGUGACUGCAUCGCUGGAGUGCGGCAGAGGGGGAUGGAAUUCCGCGUGUAGCAGUGAAAUGCGUAGAUAUGCGGAGGAACACCGAUGGCGAAGGCAAUCCCCUGGGCCUGCACUGACGCUCAUGCACGAAAGCGUGGGGAGCAAACAGG
rnacentral:rRNA from 1 species